rnacentral:antisense_RNA from 1 species
ACGCACGUCUAUGCCAGAGCACCAGGCUGCCCCAGCGGCUCCUCCCGGCCUUCUGCAGCCCCAUCACCCACCCACAUGGAACACGGCUGGGGUGGACUGCAGGGAUGGAGCUGGGGCAGGACACAGCCCUAGGAGCACCUGCCUGGCGCCAGCUUCUGCUGACGGCAGCCCAACAGCCCCCAGCCACGUGGCAAAGCGGGUCCCCAUGCAGCCCUGGCUGCAGCUGCUCCAGGGGUGGCCUGAGACUUCUCAAAGAUGCUGUGCCCGGUCCCCCGGAACCCCUACUUGGCCUGACCCCCCUGAUGCUGCAGGCCCCCAGCCCAGUCAGGUGGGGACACCCAGCACCCACCCGCAGGGAGGGGUGGCGUGCGGCCCACUGACCUCCCGGAAGAAGGCGGCAUUUCUCUGCACGCUGUCGCUGGCAUGAGCAGCCUGGAUCUCGGGGUAAAAGGAGCUGAUGACAUAGUCGAGCAGCUGCACUCUAAUGUCGUUCCUCCCCACGCUGGGGCCUGCACGCCCUGUGUGCUCAUCUGCAGACUUAAAAAUCUCAAAGGAUCCAAACCUGGAGGGAAGACCCGAGGCGUCAACAGGCCAAACCUGACCCCAGCCCCUUGUGAAAAUAAGAAAAAGGAAAAGA